AGCUAAUACAUUCCCGACGGGCGCCGGACCCCCUUCUCGGGGGGCAUGCGUCGCAUUUAUCAGAUCGAAUCCCACUCAGUCAGCCCCUCUCUGGCCCCGGCCGGGGGGCGGGCGCCGACGGCUUUGGGUGACUCUAUGAUAACCUGGGGUCGAUCGCACGCCCCGCCGUGGAUGCGCCGGCCCAUUUGAACGUUUGCCCUAUCCACUUGCGAUCGUCGUCCCGCUGCGUCCCGUGGGGGGCAUCGGGCGACGGGGAUUUCAUGGUUUGAUUCCGGAGAUGCCGCCCGAGAAAGGGGUACCACAUCCUAGGACGGCAGCAGGCGCGCAAAUUACCCACUCCUGCCCCGGGGAGGUGGGGGAGAAAACUAACAAUACAGGACUCUUUUGAGGCCCCGUAAUCGGAUUGAGUCCACUUUCCAUCCUUUA
rnacentral:rRNA from 1 species